AUUUUGUUAUUUACAUGACAUGACAUGACAUGAUAAGGAUUCUGGAAUGACCUUGUUAAUUGUCCAAGAUUUCUGUAUUUGUAAUCAUCUGGGUUUUAUCCAAUAUGCAUACAUUAUGUAACAUCGAAUUAUAACUAAAAACAGCUGUUUAUAACUUGUGAAAAACAAUGUCAUUGUCACGCCCAUAUGCUCAUUUUUCCCCCUCCCAUCCUGCUAUGAAAAUGGGUUAUAAAUAUAACUGACGUAUGAAUACAAUUUGAAUUGGUUAUUGAACACGUCUCUGCUAUUCAUUUCCAAUUUCCAGAGCUCUGUAUGAGUUGGCAAAUAUCCAUCAUCCACAAAGGGCCCAGGCUGAUUUUAUCCCCAACAAAUUGGUGUCAGAAGUUUGGGUGCAAUUAGGAACGGAGUUGCAGGUAAGGGGGUCUUUAGCCCCUUGGGGACACAACUUCUGGAAUUUAAGGGUAUCAUGACGGAGUAUUUCUGUUGUGUGUCCUUAGGGGGUUGGGGACCUUUGCCUGCUUCUGCCAUCCUCCCACACAUUGCAUUUCUUGUUUUAAUGGGGUUUUUCACUAUUUACAUUUUUAAAGGGGAUUUUCACAGGAUAAUGUCUUUGGUAGACAUGGUAUUU